rnacentral:lncRNA from 1 species
UGAACGUUUGUUUGCUCAUGGGAAUUUAAAAAUGCUUCGUAAAUUCGUGGGUUUAGUACUUUAUGCCUGACAUAACAAGUUUACGCUGAGUAUUACCAUUCAUUAUAGCAGUUAUGUCAAUCUUUUAUGCACUCGUGGGAUUAACUUAGUGAUAGGGCAUUGAAUAUCGAACAAUACGCCAAUUUCAAUGAUUUUGGUUUUUUUUGAGACACCCUGUAUAG